UACAUGUGGGGCAAGCGUUGUUCGGAAUUACUGGGCAUAAAGGGCGCGUAGGCGGCUUGUUAAGUCAGGGGUGAAAGUUUUCGGCUCAACCGGAAAAUUGCCUUUGAUACUGGCGAGCUCGAGUGCGUGAGGGGUAACCGGAACGAGUGGUGUAGCGGUGAAAUGCGUAGAUAUCACUCGGAAGGCCAAAGGCGAAGGCAGGUUACUGGUACGCAACUGACGCUGAGGCACGAAAGCGUGGGGAGCAAACAGG
rnacentral:rRNA from 1 species